AAGUUAUUAUUGUGCGUGUGAUUGUGAUCUAAUAAAGCAUCUAUGAUGAUGAUGAUCGCUGUUAGCGAGUCUACCACCGAACAAAACUUGUAGUUGGUAAAGCUCUCCUUGAAGGAAAAUGAUGUCACCUCACAAGGAAUGAUCACAUGAGGAGCGUUUUGAACUCGAGAUAUCUCAUUAUUUGGUGAAAAUGCCCAGGCUGAUAACAUGUUUAAUUUUAGCAAUACUUGUGUCAAGACACUUGAUUUGUGAUCUUAAGUGUGCAAUUGAAGACUUACCUGGAAUGAACUUAGUUACUAAGCUGGGAAUUUAUUUAGCUUCUUUUAAAUAUGGUGAGCAAGUUUCGAUGUAUGCUCCAUGAUUCCCUUGGUUUCGGUCUUCAGUAUCAGUUAAUUUUAUGAGAUUUGAGCCAACCGAUUGGUUGGUAAUCAAUGGUCUCCUUUUGCAAGUACUCUAAUAUAAUCCAAGAUCUCGAUACGAUCUUCAGCCUUUGUGAUGUUUAACUGGUUGUACAAUCCAUUUGGGAAAAUCAAGAAGAAAUCUGUACCUUCUGUAUUGCAGAUGGUACAUUAUCUAAUACACAGAGUACAAGAUUUGAUUCAGAUCAGAUCAGUUCAACAACUUCUGAAUAUCCUGUGACAUCCGAUAAAGCACUCAGGCUCAAGAAGAAGUCAAACAUUCAAGUUUAUUGGAUUGAACUUUGCUUUCCAUCUUCAAACCUUCGUGAACGAAGCAACUCUGGCACCUCAAUUUCCAUAUUUCGUCUAUAUCACUGUCGGUGGUGGUACUUACUCUACUGCCAGCCGCUGACUUGCUCACAUAACUCCUCCUUGAGUUUGGCGGUGGUUUUUCCAACACCACCAGCGUAACCAACAUCGUUAUCUUUGUUUUCGCCCUAAUGGAUGCUCUCAUCCAUAUUACCUUUUCAACUAUUUCCGAAGGUAGUGUUAGGAACAUCUGGGUAUACGGUAUGUGCCAGGAUUACAAUGAAUGCUGAACUUUUGUCACGCACUUAAAUUUUGUUUGUAAAGGAGGCAGGUUGAGAUGAAACUUUGUUUCGUUAUACAAGUAGUCUGUCACUUUUAGAUUCAUAGUUUAUUAUAUAGCCUAAUAGCCAUAUCAACCAUUCUAUUGAAAAAUC